rnacentral:misc_RNA from 1 species
ACAGAUUCACAAAUAUCUGUGCGAAUCAACCCAGUUUAACACAUUGUCUAAUUUACAAACUUGACAUGCAAUCUGAGCUCCUGUAAAGCUGACUGUUAUCUUUCUAUGAGCUCUUGUAAUCUAUUAAAUUACUUACUUCCAUUUAUACAAUACUUGAAGGGCCAUUUGGAUUCCACAUAAAUUAUGAGCUGCUGUAAUCUAUGAACAUGGAUCUAUACCACUCAACUUCCAAGUUGUUGCCUUUAUCUUAUUCCUAGUUUGCCUUGCCCCAAAAGGCCACUCUGUGUCCACUAGACCCAAGCAACCUCCCAGAGACUUGAAACAGUGUAUUUAUGUCUUUCCUAUCUCGUCCCUGGGAGCAUCCAGUGGCCAAUGACAGGAUGAUCGAGAGAUGGACGAUGGUGGCAGGCACGGAUCAGGUUUGUUCCAGCCACUUGCUCCAAUAUGGUUGUGUAGGAAUAUCUCUUGAACUAGUCAGCAUUUACAAUCAUUACAGAUAUUUACAGGAUACCAAGUGCUUUAUGGUAAAGCCAGACCCCAACUAGCAAACAGCAGGAGCUAAUAAUGUACCCACAUUGGAUCUCUCACUGCCUCAAUCAAAAGUCAAAUUUCUCAUGACAUGUGAAUGGCAUUAGCCAACCCUCGUAAAAGUCUAUAAGCAGCUGUUGUAAGUGCACAUUGCUUCGUCAAGUGACCAAUAGAACCUCAGCCUUCAAAUUGGAUCCUCAGAUUCGCUUGCACAGACUGCAUCAGAAAACUAUGUUUGCUUGCCAAUUGCCACGUCUCUUCAAAUGAGGAAGUUAAAGUUCCAACAUGCAUCUUGUGGUUCAGGAGACUAAGCUCCAACAUACCUCAGAGCUUCUUCAAUGUAUCGCAGAAUAUCAUGAAAAGAGCUCUCGUAUUGAAAAAAG